rnacentral:rRNA from 1 species
UACGUAGGCAGCGAGCGUUGUUCGGAAUUACUGGGCGUAAAGAGUGUGUAGGCGGUGCUCUAAGUUCGGUGUGAAAUCUCCUGGCUCAACUGGGAGGGUGCGCCGGAAACUGGAGUGCUUGAGCGUGGGAGAGGUGCGUGGAAUUCCUGGUGUAGCGGUGAAAUGCGUAGAUAUCAGGAGGAACACCUGUGGCGAAAGCGGCGCACUGGACCACAACUGACGCUGAGGCGCGAAAGCUAGGGGAGCAAACAGG